rnacentral:rRNA from 1 species
UUUUUGAAGAGUUUGAUCCUGGCUCAGAGUGAACGCUAGCGGUGCGCCUAACACAUGCAAGUCGAGUGGGUUUAGACCCACGGCAAACGGCUGCGUAACACGUUGGAAUCUACCCCGAACUCAGGGAUAUCCCUCCGAAAGGAGGAGUAAUACCGGAUGCCCUCGCAAGAGGAAAGAUUUUUCGGUUCGGGAGGAGCCUGCGGCCUAUCAGAUAGUUGGUGGGGUAACGGCCUACCAAGUCGAUGACGGGUAGCUGGUCUGAGAGGACGACCAGCCAGAAUGGAACUGAGACACGGUCCAUACUCCUACGGG